rnacentral:pre_miRNA from 1 species
AAGAUCAAAAACGAAAAUCACUUUUCUAAGUACUAGUGCCGCAGGAGAUGGUACUUUUUAAAUAAAACUCCUGCUGCCCAAGUGCUUAUCAAAGAGAUUUAGUUGUCAACAAA